rnacentral:lncRNA from 1 species
UAAAAGUAAAGAGAUAGUACCCGAGGAUCAAGAAUCGGAGUACUCGAAAUUCGACUCCCGAAAUAGUGAGUAACCUUACUAUCGUCGUAAUUAUCUAAAGUGGUUUUUAUCCGAUUUUGUGAUUUUAUGGAAAAUGAGUUUAAAUGGUAAAUCUUUAUGUUUUACAAGCAAAAUGUGAUUAAAUGAAAAUGAUUUUAUAAAAUUGUCUUGAAAUUGAAAGAUGGUUUUGAAAAUGGAGUAAUUGGAGACUAAUUGCUGUGUUAUAAAUCAUGUUUUGAAUUGAAUGGCUUAUGAUAAUAAUUGCAUGAAUGGCUAAAUUGGUAUUUGUGUUGAAAUUGUAUGAACUGUUAAUUUGCCUCGAGAGGCUGUAAAAUAAAAUAAUUGCCAUGUCAUGCUGUUGAAUUUUAUUGAAUUGGUGGGUUAUAUAUUGGUCGUUGCAGUGGACGGGUUUCGUGGACCAGCCUAUUAGAG